rnacentral:lncRNA from 1 species
GGAUGGAGGGGAGUGUCAGACUGGCUUCGCUAGCGUGAAGCAGGGCUCAGCUUGCCGAAGCUUGGAGACCCCAGCUCCCGACGAUGGGAGCGGCAGGGACCGGCUGUCUCCGUGCCCAAGGCAAGUAGCAGCUUAGGGCCGGGCGCCGCUCUCCGCCCUGAGGAAGGCUGUUGGGCAUGGGGAGACCUGGGUGCGGGGCUGGAGGCGGGAGCAGCUCAGACCCGGCAGGAACAGGCUUCCUUGGCCGGGAACCUCCCGCCGGCUUGCAGUCCAGGCAGCUCCGUGUGCCCUUACCUGCGGGGAGCGGAGCCGGGGAGGCGGGGCGGGAGGCGGCGCGGCUCUGCCCUGCCUCCCCGCUCGUCGCCGCUCGCUCCCCGGCCGGCGCUGUGUCUUCUGCGCCUCCAAGAUGAGCGGGCAGCGGCGAGGCGGCUGCCGGAACCCGCUGAGCAGCCCUGCACUGCUCAGAUUGCCCCAGGAUUGAGGUGCUGCAGAUGGCUCCUUUGUAGCUUCCGCAGCUCGGUUGCAUCGAGUGGACUGAUCUGAAGGUUGACCCCUUACCGUGCAGUCACCACCACCAAGAACCUCUCAUGUACAGUGCCUGCAGUCCAUUAUUCUAGCGUGUUUCAGAAGUGAAAAUUUCCCCCUGGAAAAGAAGCUGGUGUGAGGUCUGGAAGUGGUUUUACCAGGCAACCUCCACUGCAGAUGGCCAUUGCUCAUCUAGCAGGUGUUUAAUAAUUACACUUGGAAGGAUUAGAUUUGUAAUGGUGAAUGUUGGUACACGUCAGUUUCACAGUACACACACAAAUUGAGGAAAAAGUAUUUCCAGCAGUAAUAAUCAAAAAGUAAGAAAAAUGCCACUUGAGAACUUCUGAGCAUUUAGGGAUGUUUCCAUUGUAUAUUUUGACAUGUGAUCAUGCUAAAUUGGGUUUUAAUGGUUAUAGAGCUUUAACUUUCUGACUUUCAGUGUCUACUGCCAUUAUAUCAUUAUUGUCUUGCUCCGCUUGUGUGUGACCCCUUCCCAUAAUGUUGAGGAACUGUGAAAAAAACUAAAAAAUGGAUUGAAAAUAAACAUCAAUAUUAACUGUUGAAAUGAUCA